UGUGAUAUAGCUCAGUAAUAGAGUACUUGCCUAGCAUGUAUGAGGUCUUGGAUUCAAUCCUCAGCAUCACAA
rnacentral:tRNA from 1 species